rnacentral:tRNA from 1 species
GCUAUUUUGGCAGAUUAGUGCAGUAAAUUUAGAAUUUAUUUAAGUAAAGAAAUUACAUAUAGUA